rnacentral:rRNA from 1 species
AUUGAACGCUGGCGGCAUGCCUUACACAUGCAAGUCGAACGGUAACAGGUCUUCGGAUGCUGACGAGUGGCGAACGGGUGAGUAAUACAUCGGAACGUGCCCAGACGUGGGGGAUAACGAGGCGAAAGCUUUGCUAAUACCGCAUACGAUCUAAGGAUGAAAGCAGGGGACCGCAAGGCCUUGUGCGUUUGGAGCGGCCGAUGGCAGAUUAGGUAGUUGGUGGGAUAAAAGCUUACCAAGCCGACGAUCUGUAGCUGGUCUGAGAGGACGACCAGCCACACUGGGACUGAGACACGGCCCAGACUCCUACGGGAGGCAGCAGUGGGGAAUGUUGGACAAUGGGCGAAAGCCUGAUCCAGCAAUGCCGCGUGCAGGAUGAAGGCCUUCGGGUUGUAAACUGCUUUUGUACGGAACGAAAAGGCUCUGGCUAAUACCUGGGGCACAUGACGGUACCGUAAGAAUAAGCACCGGCUAACUACGUG